UAUCCUACGGGGGGCAGCAGUGGGGAAUAUUGCACAAUGGGGGGAACCCUGAUGCAGCGACGCCGCGUGGGUGAAGGAGCACCUCGGUGCGUAAAGCCCUAUCGGCAGGGAAGAAAAGCGAACAGGUUCGCCUGGACGGUACCUGACUAAGAAGCCCCGGCUAACUACGUGCCAGCAGCCGCGGUAAUACGUAGGGGGCAAGCGUUAUCCGGAUUUACUGGGUGUAAAGGGAGCGUAGACGGCAGUGCAAGUCCGGAGUGAAAGCCCGGGGCUCAACCCUGGGACUGCUCUGGAAACUGUAAAGC
rnacentral:rRNA from 1 species